GAUGAACGCUGGCGGCGUGCCUAAUACAUGCAAGUAGAACGCUGAAGGAGGAGCUUGCUCUUCUGGAUGAGUUGCGAACGGGUGAGUAACGCGUAGGUAACCUGCCUGGUAGCGGGGGAUAACUAUUGGAAACGAUAGCUAAUACCGCAUGACAACAGUUAUUGCAUGAUAACUGUUUAAAAGGGGCAACUGCUCCACUACCAGAUGGUCCUGCGUUGUAUUAGCUAGUUGGUGAGGUAACGGCUCACCAAGGCGACGAUACAUAGCCGACCUGAGAGGGUGAUCGGCCACACUGGGACUGAGACACGGCCCAGACUCCUACGGGAGGCAGCAGUAGGGAAUCUUCGGCAAUGGACGGAAGUCUGACCGAGCAACGCCGCGUGAGUGAAGAAGGUUUUCGGAUCGUAAAGCUCUGUUGUAAGAGAAGAACGAGUGUGAGAGUGGAAAGUUCACACUGUGACGGUAUCUUACCAGAAAGGGACGGCUAACUACGUG
rnacentral:rRNA from 1 species